AUUGAACGCUGGCGGCAGGCCUAACACAUGCAAGUCGAGCGGCGCGGCGGACGGGUGAGUGAUGCCUAGGAAUCUGCCUGGUAGUGGGGGAUAACGUCCGGAACCGGGCGCGAAUACCGCAUACUAUCGGAUGAGCAUAGGCCGGAUUAGCUAGUUUGUGGGGUAAAGGCCUACCAAGGCGACGAUCCGUAACUGGUCUGGGAGGAUGAUCAGUCACUCUGGAACGUGGACAGUGUCCAGACUCCUACGGGAGGCAGCAGGGGGGAAUAUUGGACAAUGGGCGAAAGCCUGAUCCAGCCAUGCCGCGUGUUUGAAGAAGGUCUUCGGAUUGUAAAGCACUUUACGUUGGUAGGCUUUACCAACAGAAUAAGCACCGGCUAACUUCGUGCCAGCAGCCGCGGUAAUAC
rnacentral:rRNA from 1 species